UACGUAGGUGGCAAGCGUUGUCCGGAUUUACUGGGCGUAAAGAGCGCGCAGGCGGUCGUUCAAGUCGCGUGUGAAAGCCCCCGGCUCAACUGGGGAGGGUCACGCGAUACUGAUCGACUCGAAGGCAGGAGAGGGUAGUGGAAUUCCCGGUGUAGUGGUGAAAUGCGUAGAUAUCGGGAGGAACACCGGUGGCGAAGGCGGCUCUCUGGAACGGUACUG
rnacentral:rRNA from 1 species